CAGGUGCUGCAUGGCUGUCGUCAGCUCGUGUCGUGAGAUGUUCGUUAAGUCCGCUAACGAGCGCAACCCUCGCUGUGUGUUACAAGUGUCACACGGAACUGCCGGUCAUAAACCGGAGGAAGGUGGGGAUGACGUCAAGUCAGCAUGGCCUUUAUAUCCUGGGCUACACACACGCUACAAUGGGAAGGGACAAUAGGUUGCGAAGCCGCGAGGCGGAGCCAAUCCAGCAAAACUUCCCUCAGUUCAGAUUGCAGGCUGCAACCCGCCUGCAUGAAGUUGGAGUUGCUAGUAAACGCAGGUCAGCCAUACUGCGUUGAAUACGUUCCCGGGGCUU
rnacentral:rRNA from 1 species